rnacentral:rRNA from 1 species
GAUGAACGCUGGCGGCGUGCUUAACACAUGCAAGUCGAACGGAAAGGCCCAAGCUUGCUUGGGUACUCGAUUGCCGAACGGGUGAGUAUCACGUGUGUGAUCUGCCCUGCACUUCGGGAUAUGCCUGCGAAACUCGGUCUAAUACCGGAUAGGACCACUUCUUGGGCGUUGUUGUGGAGUGUUUUUUGGGUGUGGGGUGAGCUGGCGGGCUAUCAGCUUGUUGGUGGGGUGAUGGCCUACCAACGCGUGGCCGGGUAGCCGGACUGUGGGGGUGUAAAGCGACAUUGGGACUGAGAGGCGGCAGAGACAGCGACGGGAGGCAGCAGGGGGGAAUCUUGCAGGAGGGGCGCAGGCCGGAUGCAGCGAGGCCGCGGGGGGGAAGACGGUCUUAGGGUUGAAGAACAAAUGCGCUAGGAACGAAGCGUUUUGUGACGGUACCUGGUGAAGAAGCACCGGCUAACUACGUG